UUUCUUCUAGGGGAGCUAGAAGUCACCCCACAUUCUCCGCCAUGGCCAGCUCUACAUUCUAAGAGAACCAAUGGCUCUACCCAACAUAUUCUUCUCACCACAGAUGACAAAGACACAAGGAGCCAAGACAGAUCAUUCAAGCAUAUUCAUUGCCUCUAUCUUCAUCCCAUUAAAUAACAUCCCGCCAACCAAAGCAAGUUAUCUGCAUAAGAAUAAAUAUUCCACCUACUCUACUGCAAGGCCCUGCAAGAGUCAUGAGACAAAAGGAUCCUCUGUGGACAGCACCCAAGAUGGAAACAACUGACAGUCUAUGGCCAGGGCUAUACUCUGGUGAAACUGAAAGGUGUCUGCAUGGAAGUGUCUGACUACCACCAUCCACUCAGAGAUGGGGUUUCAUCAUGUUGACCAGGCUGGUCUUGCCCUCCCGACCACAGGUGAUCUGCCCGCCUGAGCCUCCCAAAGUGCUGGGAUUACAGGCAUGAGCCACCACGCCUGUCCAAAACUUCUUGACUUAAUAAAGAAAGAAAGAAAG
rnacentral:lncRNA from 10 species